rnacentral:rRNA from 1 species
GAAACGACGGCUAAUACCCGAUAUACUCGGUGAUUCGGUUCAUCGAGUAAAGGCUCCGGUGCUUCGGGAUGGGCCUGCGGNCUAUCAGCUAGUUGGUGGGGUAAUGGCCCACCAAGGCGAAGACGGGUAGGGGGCGUGAGAGCGCGGNCCCCCACACUGGCACUGAGAUACGGGCCAGACUUCUACGGAAGGCAGCAGUCGGGGAUAUUGCACAAUCGGCGAAAGCCGGAUGCAGCGACGCCGCGUGGGCGAUGAAGGCCUUCGGGUUGUAAAGCCCUUUUAUGGGGGAAGAGACAAGGACGGUACCCCAAGAAUAAGCGUCGGCUAACUACGUGCCAGCAGCCGCGGUAAAACGUAGGACGCAAGCGUUAUCCGGAUUUACUGGGCGUAAAGAGCGUUGAGGCGGUUCCGUAAGUUGGGCGUGAAAGCCCCGGGCUUAACCCGGGGAGGUCGUUCAAUACUGCGGGACUUGAGGGCAGCAGAGGGAGGCGGAAUUCCCGGUGUAGCGGUGAAAAUGCGUAGAUCUCGGGAGGAACACCAGUGGCGAAGGCGGCCUCCUGGGCUGUUUCUGACGCUGAAGGCGAAAGCUAGGG